UUCACAUGUGCUUUCAUAGUAUUGAUUGUACACAGGUCCAACUGCUUCCUGGAUAUAGAAAUAUCAAUGGCUGUGAGGAACAGAACUAAUUUAUUGCAAGGAUUCAGAACGUAUUACAAAACACAAAAGAAAAUUUUGGAGUUACACCAUCCUUAGAUGCCUGAUGGUACAUGCCUUCUUCAUGACAGUUUGUACAAUCGAGUAGCUUUGUUCGGCCACAUCUGAGGCCAGUGAAGAGUCAGCCAAGCAUACACUAGCCCAGGCAAAGAUGUCAGAUUUUCCUUCCUAAAGAACAAUGCAAAACCCCAAUUGGUUCACGAAUGAUCCAGCAGCUACAUGGUCACUUCUGCUGAUAGCAGCAUCAAACACGAAAAGGUGCAGUGUGAUCAAUGUGAAAACACUGAGAAAAGCAAUCAUUUCCUUCAGCAUUGGAUCGGAAUCUUGAAACUAACACCACUGGGGACACCUAAAACAAACACAAGUCAGUGAUCCAGCGUAUGACCAUUUUCUGAGGGCAAUGAUGGAUGCACAAUAAAUGCCAGCUUUGUCAGU